UACAGAGGGUGCGAGCGUUGUCCGGAAUCACUGGGCGUAAAGGGCGCGUAGGCGGCCUGAUAAGUAGGGGGUGAAAUCCUGCGGCUUAACCGCAGGGCUGCCUUCUAAACUGUCAGGCUUGAGCACAGUAGAGGCAGGUGGAAUUCCCGGUGUAGCGGUGGAAUGCGUAGAGAUCGGGAAGAACAUCAGUGGCGAAGGCGGCCUGCUGGGCUGUUGCUGACGCUGAGGCGCGACAGCGUGGGGGAGCAAACAGG
rnacentral:rRNA from 1 species